CAUAGAAGACGAGUUUGGACUGAGCGU
rnacentral:piRNA from 1 species